rnacentral:rRNA from 1 species
CUACGUGCCAGCAGCCGCGGUAAUACGGAAGGUCCAGGCGUUAUCCGGAUUUAUUGGGUUUAAAGGGAGCGUAGGCUGGAGAUUAAGUGUGUUGUGAAAUGUAGACGCUCAACGUCUGAAUUGCAGCGCAUACUGGUUUCCUUGAGUACGCACAACGUUGGCGGAAUUCGUCGUGUAGCGGUGAAAUGCUUAGAUAUGACGAAGAACUCCGAUUGCGAAGGCAGCUGACGGGAGCGCAACUGACGCUUAAGCUCGAAGGUGCGGGUAUCAAACAGGAUUAGAUACCCUGGUAGUCCGCACAGUAAACGAUGGAUGCCCGCUGUUGGUACCUGGUAUCAGCGGCUAAGCGAAAGCAUUAAGCAUCCCACCUGGGGAGUACGCCGGCAACGGUGAAACUCAAAGGAAUUGACGGGGGCCCGCACAAGCGGAGGAACAUGUGGUUUAAUUCGAUGAUACGCGAGGAACCUUACCCGGGCUUGAACUAACGGUGACGAAUCUAGAGAUAG